CGGGUUGUAUGGUUAAGUGACUAAGCGUACACGGUGGAUGCCUUGGCAGUCAGAGGCGAUGAAGGACCAAAAAACACAUUCAAGUGUUCUUGGGAAUAUCACUUUUAAGUGAUUAUUCGAAAUUGAGUCCGGCAAAAUCGAAAUGUCUCUCGCUCAUUCAAAUAAUGAGAGACAACUUUGGUGAUUUGAACAUCAACUCGAAACUCCUUCGGGUUGUAUGGUUAAGUGACUAAGCGUACACGGUGGAUGCCUUGGCAGUCAGAGGCGAUGAAGGA
rnacentral:rRNA from 1 species